rnacentral:rRNA from 1 species
CCUACGGGAGGCAGCAGUGGGGAAUUUUGGACAAUGGGCGCAAGCCUGAUCCAGCAAUGCCGCGUGAGUGAAGAAGGCCUUCGGGUUGUAAAGCUCUUUUGUCAGGGAAGAAACGGUGGGGGCUAAUAUCCUCCACUAAUGACGGUACCUGAAGAAUAAGCACCGGCUAACUACGUGCCAGCAGCCGCGGUAAUACGUAGGGUGCAAGCGUUAAUCGGAAUUACUGGGCGUAAAGCGUGCGCAGGCGGUUUUGUAAGUCUGUCGUGAAAGCCCCGGGCUCAACCUGGGAAUUGCGAUGGAGACUGCAAGGCUUGAAUCUGGCAGAGGGGGGUAGAAUUCCACGUGUAGCAGUGAAAUGCGUAGAGAUGUGGAGGAACACCGAUGGCGAAGGCAGCCCCCUGGGUCAAGAUUGACGCUCAUGCACGAAAGCGUGGGGAGCAAACAGGAUUAGAUACCCUGGUAGUCCACGCCCUAAACGAUGUCUACUAGUUGUCGGGUUUUAAUUAACUUGGUAACGCAGCUAACGCGUGAAGUAGACCGCCGNGGGAGGUACGGUCGCGAAGUAAGUUAAAACGUUAAAAGUUAAGUAAGUUAGUUACGGUACGUUGAGAGNGCGACGGACGACGACGAGGGAGGAGGAG